UACGUAUGGAGCAAGCGUUAUCCGGAUUUACUGGGCGUAAAGGGAGCGUAGGCGGCCUGCCAAGUCUGAUGUGAAAUACCGGGGCUCAACCCCGGGGCUGCAUUGGAAACUGGCAGGCUGGAGUGCCGGAGAGGCAGGCGGAAUUCCUAGUGUAGCGGUGAAAUGCAUAGAUAUCACGAAGAACUCCGAUUGCGAAGGCAGCUUACCAGUCUGCGACUGACGCUCAGGCACGAAAGUGUGGGUAUCGAACAGG
rnacentral:rRNA from 1 species